rnacentral:rRNA from 1 species
UACGUAGGGUGCGAGCGUUAAUCGGAAUUACUGGGCGUAAAGCGUGCGUAGGCGGUUUGUUAAGUCUGUCGUGAAAGCCCUGGGCUCAACCUGGGAAUUGCGAUGGAUACUGGCAAGCUAGAGUACGGUAGAGGAUGGUGGAAUCCCCGGUGUAGCGGUGAAAUGCGCAGAUAUCAGGAAGAACACCCGUGGCGAAGGCGGCUCUCUGGGACGGUACUGACGCUGAGACGCGAAAGCGUGGGGAGCAAACAGG